rnacentral:rRNA from 1 species
GGCGCGAAAAUUGCCCACUCUUUGCAGGAGGCAGUUAUGAGACGUGAAGAUGAGUAUCUUGUAAAGAGGGAUAGGAGAAUUGGAGGGCAAGUUUGGUGCCAGCAGCCGCGGUAAUACCGACUCCAAGAGUGUGUAUGAGAGAUGCUGCAGUUAAAAAGUCCGUAGUCAUAGAAGGGCAAAGAGAGACGCGAGGUCUCACAGUGCGAUGAUGGAGGAGCCGAUGGGGAACAUAGUAUACCAGGGCGAGAGAUGAAAUGCCAAGACCCCUGGUGGACUGAGCGAGGCGAAGGCGAUGUUCUUGUAGGCAUUCGGUGAUCAAGGACGAAGGCUGGAGUAUCGAAAGUGAUUAGAUACCGCAGUAGUUCCAGCAGUAAAAGAUGCCGACAUGCUCAUUGGACACAGUGGGCAGGGAGAAAUCUUAGAGUUCGGGCUCUGGGGAUAGUAUGCUCGCAAGGGUGAAAAUUAAAGAAAUUGACGGAGCUACACCACAAGGAGUGGAUUGUGCGGCUUAAUUUGACUCAACGCGAGGAAACUUACCAGGGCCAAGUAUUGUGUAGAAACGAGCAAUACAGGAGUGGUGCAUGGUCGUUGGAAAUUGAUGGGAUGACUUUGACCUUAAAUGGUUGAAUGAGUGAGAUCUUUUGGACAUGUUCCGCACGGAACAGGAAGGAAAAGGCUAUAACAGAUCCGAGAUGCCCUCAGAUGCCCUGGGCUGCACGCGCAAUACAAUAGCAGGUAGAGAGAGAGACAGGAAGGUGCUCAGAUGGACUACGUGCUGUAAGGCACAUACGAAAGAGGAAUUCCUAGUAAGUGUGU